UACGGGGGGGGUAAGCGUUGUUCGGAAUUACUGGGCGUAAAGGGCUCGUAGGCGGCCAACUAAGUCAGACGUGAAAUCCCUCAGCUUAACUGGGGAACUGCGUGUGAUACUGGAUGGCUUGGAUUUGGGGGAGGGAUGCGGAAUUCCAGGUGUAGCGGUGAAAUGCGUAGAUAUCUGGAGGAACACCGGUGGCGAAGGCGGCAUCCUGGACCAAUAUUGACGCUGAGGAGCGAAAGCCAGGGGAGCAAACGGG
rnacentral:rRNA from 1 species